GACGAGUGGCGGACGGGUGAGGAACACAUCGGAAUUUGCCCAGUCGUGGGGGAUAACGUAGGGAAACUUACGCUAAUACCGCUUACGACCGGAAGGUGAAAGCGGGGGAUCGCAAGACCUCGCGCGAGUGGAUGAGCCGAUGUCGGAUUAGCUAGUUGGUAGGGUAAAGGCCUACCAAGGCGACGAUCCGUAGCUGGUCUGAGAGGAUGAUCAGCCACACUGGGACUGAGACACGGCCCAGACUCCUACGGGAGGCAGCAGUGGGGAAUAUUGGACAAUGGGGGCAACCCUGAUCCAGCAAUGCCGCGUGUGUGAAGAAGGCCUUCGGGUUGUAAAGCACUUUUAUCCGGAACGAGACGCGCAGGGUGAAUAUCCUUGCGAACUGACGGUACCGGAGGAAUAAGCACCGGCUAACUUCGUGCCAGCAGCCGCGGUAAUACGAAGGGUGCAAGCGUUACUCGGAAUUACUGGGCGAAAAGGGUGCGUAGGUGGUUUGUUAAGUCUGCUGUGAAAUCCCCGGGCUCAACCUGGGAAUGGCAGUGGAUACUGGCGAGCUAGAGUGCGGUAGAGGGUAGUGGAAUUCCCGGUGUAGCAGUGAAAUGCGUAGAGAUCGGGAGGAACACCAGUGGCGAAGCGGCUACCUGGACCAGCACUGACACAGAAGCACGAAAGCGUGGGGAGCAAACAGGAUUAGAUACCCUGUAGUCCACGCCCUAAACGAUGCGAACUGACGUUGGGUGCACUUGCACUCAGUGUCAAGCUAACGCGUUAAGUUCGCCGCCUGGGGAGUAGGUCGCAAGACUGAAACUCAAAGGAAUUGAGGGGCCCGCA
rnacentral:rRNA from 1 species